rnacentral:rRNA from 1 species
UGGUCAAGUUAUUAAGGGUGCAGGGCGGAUGCCUUGGCACUAGGAGCCGAUGAAGGACGUGAUAAGCUGCGAUAAGCUUCGGGGAGUUGCACGUAAACUUUGAUCCGAAGAUUUCCGAAUGAGGAAACUCACUUAGAGUAAUGUCUAAGUAUCAUUAAGUGAAUACAUAGCUUAAUGAGGGGAACUCAGGGAACUGAAACAUCUAAGUACCUGAAGGAAGAGAAAGAAAUUCGAUUCCGUAAGUAGCGGCGAGCGAACGCGGAUUAGCCCAAACCAAUAAAGUUUUCUUUAUUGGGGUUGCGGACAUAUCAUAACGAAGAGGUAUCGUAAUUGAAGAGGUUUGGAAAGACCCACCACAGAAGGUAAUAGUCCUGUAUGUUAAACGAGAAGACUUUAGAUAUG